AGCUAAUAUCAGCUAUUUUUUUUUUUACAUUAUAGCUGCUAAUAUUUAGAGAUCACAUUGAAUAUCAGCCAGUACAAAACUUUUAUUUGUAUAAUAUUGGUGGUUUAGUGAGACAAUCUUAGGGGUCUGAACUAGGGAUGCACCGAUACCAUUUUUUAAGGACCGAGUACGAGUACCGAUACUUUUUUCUAGUACUCGCCGAUACAUUUAUACAUUUAUUAAUUUCUCUCUCUCUGUUUUUUUUUUUCUUUUUUUUUGGUGAUGUUGCAGUUUUUCAAGCACAACACAAUGAGACUAAUGAAUGUAGGACAGCUUCUUUAUUAUUACUCUAAUGAAAAAAGUAAUAUUUUUUAUGUGCUUGUCACAAACUUAAAGAACAAAAAUUUCACAGUGUCCAAUAACCUUCAAAGCAUAAUUACCAAUAUAUAUAAUUAUUGUUAUAUAAAAAGAAAUUUUCAAACAAAUUACAAACAAUACAACAAAUACUAUAGAGAUACAAAUUAAAUAAACUUGUUUUUCAGAUACAGUAGGUUUAUUUACCAUGUAUACAUUUAUUUAACAUAUUUUGUUGUUUUAUUAACAUUAAUGACAAAUAUAGGCUACGGUCCCUUUAAGACCGAAUCCAUGGAUACUGACACGUAUCCUGUUUUCACCCAAAUGUUUACGUCCACUUAAGCCAUAAGCGACUGUAUUUACGUGAGAUACUCCACACGAUGGACAUUUUGACAACUGUGUGUGCAUUUGACCAUUCAGGUGCGAGGAGAACUGAUCGCGCGCUGUCUGAGAGAACUGGGAUCGCGCGCAAGAAAGAGAGAGCGCGCGAGAGGGAGCGCUUCUGGUCUGUGUUAUUCAGCGCGAUUCCGCCUAUCCCGCCUUCACUAAUCCAUAACGAAUUGUGAUUGAAAGCAUGCAGUUCGCAAUGUGUGGGUUGUCAUCAUUAAUUUGAAGUAUUUCCACUCCCUUGAGGCUGACAUUGUUUCUGCUGCUGCCGCCGGUGUCUCUGUGCACGGAAAAUUCUGUCAGUUACGUCACGUGAGGAGCAGGACAACUCAAAGAUGUUCUUUAAUGGUGGAUCUCAAGUAGGGGUGCAGAUGAGGCCUGACGGUGAGCCACAGGGAGAGGGCUCAGGUAUGUAGCCCUGUGGCUCAUGGCUCCAGGGAUGUGAGUGUCCACACGGUGGGAAAGACAGAGAAAGCCUGGGGGAAUCUCCUCUGUACUGCAUCAUUGGAUAUAAGCACAGGUGCUCCAAUGUGGAAUAAAGUCAGAUA